rnacentral:rRNA from 1 species
UAAUACGAAGGGUGCAAGCGUUACUCGGAAUUACUGGGCGUAAAGCGUGCGCAGGCGGUUUUGUAAGCCAGAUGUGAAAGCCCCGGGCUUAACCUGGGAAUGGCAUUUGGGACUGCAAGGCUUGAGUGCGGCAGAGGAGACUGGAAUUCCUGGUGUAGCAGUGAAAUGCGUAGAUAUCAGGAGGAAUACCGAUGGCGAAGGCAGGUCUCUGGGCUGACACUGACGCUCAUGCACGAAAGCGUGGGGAGCAAACAGGAUUAGAUACCCUGGUAGUCCACGCCCUAAACGAUGUCGACUGGUUGUUGGGGGUUUGACACUCUCAGUAACGAAGCUAACGCGUGAAGUCGACCGCCUGGGGAGUACGGCCGCAAGGUUA